ensembl:lncRNA
UGUGGUGGCUAAAAGGUUGCAUUACCAAGCAGUGUUUUUCAUCCCACAUGCAGCAGCAUGAUUUACAGCAGCAGGAUUUCUUUUCCAAACUAAUUCCUCACCUCCAUUUUAAAACAACCUUCUCUUGGAAAAUGACUUUACUGAUUUUUCCUCCUUCACUCAGUUACACUCAGCUGACAAUUAUCCUUCCUUACAGCAAUGACUGGAUGUGUGCUUCAGGUUCUGUCUGCACUGACCAACACCCAGCUGUCCCACGUUCACUUUGUCAUUCUUGCUUACUCCUCCUGGUCUGAAUUUUGUUAGACCUUAAAUUGUGUCCAAAUAUUGUUGAAUCGUUACAAGAAACAAAAAGUUUCAAGUACCUAAGUUAUACUACUGUCAUCAAAAAAUGCAAAGCAAGUGCAUGACAUUCCAAAUUAUGUGGAAAUUACUUUUGAGAGCCUUUGCAAACCUCUGUCUUAAAACUAUUUGCCGCUUACUACAUGCUUCCCCAUUAAAUACAGUGGUUUAAUUUACUAUUGAAAAGAUGAGAGCAUGGAGGGGAACUAUCAAGCAGAAUUUUCACCUGGGAUCACAGCUGCAUUGCUUAUAGCAAUUUGUCUCCAGUGAAAUCGAUGGACUACACUCUCCACUGGGGAUCUGAAUCCUGAAUUACACUUUGGACGCAGAUCUCCAGGGUAGAGAUGCUAAUGGACUAAUUGCUCUGUGUCAGCUACUUCUGUCAGAAGACAGUGAAUUACCUUGUGCUGUUGGUUAUCAUCCAUCUAAGUCUUCCAUCUAGACAUAAAUAUAUGAGAGAUCCAGCUGAGAGAAAACAAAACACUUUUGGUUAUAACAUGUUCUGUGGCUAUAUAGUUGUUUCCCUUUGGCAAGCAGCACAGAAGUAUUCCUCCCUUGUGUAAAAAUUAACUAACCCUUGAAGAAGUUUUCCUCUUAUCCUUGUGCAUGAGUUUUCUCUAGUUGCGCCCAAAAGUGAGUGAUAUAAUAACACCUAAUGGAUUGAGUCAAAUGUGCAGGCAAGUGGAAUUUGACUUAAAUUCAUGACAAAAUCAUGCAGAUUGUGCAGCUGAUUUGCACACCCAUUGUUGCUGGCAUGGAACAAAACCUAUUUAGAGAGCAAUUGCUGAAGAAUGAAGUUAUAUCCUAAAUUCGUGUUCUGUCUCUAGGGUGACUGCUGUCCUUGUUCACUUUUGCUACUUCUUUGAAUUUGUGGAAGUAAAAUAGAAAUCUUCCCAGAAUGUAUAAGGAGACACAAACUCUAUCCAUCUCAGUUCUCUAACUUUAGACCCAUAGAAUCAUAGAAUUACUCAGGUUGGAAAAGACCUUCAAGAUGAUCAAGUCCAAUUGCAACCAAACCAUACCACCCUAAUGCUAACGUAACCUCCUUCCUCAUGCCACUUCUUCAGUUCUAGCCUUUUAUUUCUUGCCUUGAUGUCUUCCAUUCAUAAUAAGAUUUGUGUUUGGAGGGGAGGAAUUGAAUCUCCAAUCAAGCAGUUUUCAGACCAACUCACAGGAUACUUAAAAUUACAAUUUACCACUGCCUAUGUAAUCCAGGAUGGACAAGGUGAUGGCUUUUCUGGAAUAAUUGAAACAUCUCUUAUCUGUAUAAAAUGUUCCCCAUCAUUACUUCACAGUGGAGCAUAACUGGGCUACUUGAAAGGAACUACCACUAAGAUGCAGGUUUUUGGGACACCCAGGAAAGAAAAAAUGAAAGUGAAUAAUAGGAAAAAUAAAAAAUAAAAAGUCAGACUUGGAGAUUUCUGCUCUUUCCACUGAACUUCCCUUUGGAUGAGUCAGAGGAAGGUGGGAAAUUAUAAGAAGAUCACCCUGUGAAGAUCUAUGAAAAUCUAGUCAGAUAAUCAACUGAGACUGAAGAAUGAUUCUUCUCACCCUGAAGUGCACAUCUAAAAUAGAUCAGACAGUCAAACCUCAGAAUUGUUGGCUGUUAAGUGAGGUCAGCACGACUAGCUUUGUAGCAGAAGUUCACUACAGAUGUCUAAAGCCAGAUGAGAAGUAUCACCUCAUUAAUUAAUUCAAGCACAGUAUGAAUGUAGUAAAGGACCAGCGCACCAGCAAAGGCAGCUAUACAAAAGCUCUUCUGUGUGUUGAUAGGCAGUAGAGGUGCCAGUGAUAAAUUGGGCUGCACGUGGAACAAGAUUAAAAGUAUUAAGUUGGAGUGCAUUGCCUUGUACGUGAAUUUACUGAGUAGCUUCAAAGGGAAUGUAUGUUCAGUUAUGAUGGUUUGAGGGGAAAAAAAUUUUGUCAUUUUGUAUUGUCACAAAGGAAGACAUUCUACGUAAGUGCUAGAAGAUAAGGGAAAUCAUGGAAAACCUGUUAUAUGAAGGAUUCAGAAAGACUUGGAUUGUUAGCAUGUGGAAGGAGACAAAGAAAUAUAGCAAUAAAAGCUGGGUUCACUGUGGUUGUAUGCUUGUUUUGUCACAGAUGUUCAGGGCACAAACUACCCUAACAAUGGCAUCCCUAAACUUGGUGUCCAGAUCUGAGAUAGUCACCUUGGGCUGCAAUAGAAGGGAAAAUGAUUAUUCUAUACUUACCAUUAGCAAGUGAUAUUCUUCCAUGUCUUGGAAAGCAGGGUCUCAAUGGACAUAGCAGCCAUUUGGGAGGACAGACAAGUUGAAAAGUGGUACAGGGGGUCUGCUUCUCCUCUCACUGUAGAAAUGAGCUAUGGACCUCACUGUUGCAUCAAUUGACUGACACUGCUCCAAGAUGAGUAAGAUUCAAAGAGAAACAGUGAUUACAUGGCUGAAAAGAAUAUCCAGAUAUAGCACAAAAGAUAAAAUUACACAGGAAGGCUAUAAAAUCUUCAGAUUUGAAAAGAUCAAGAUAUCCUUUAUUUUUUGUUGCUCAGAAGAGAUAAUCUGGGUUACAGACUGUAACGUCUGCUUAUUACAAACCAUUUUACACUUUUCUCCAGUCAAUGUUCUUUCUCAGGAAAGAAGUCCCUAGGCUAUUUCUCUGAUCCUAUAUGGACAUUUUUAUGUUGCUAGAGAAGAUGGAAGUCUCCAUUUGUGUUUAACAUGGGAUUUCCUCUUCUAGAUGGAAAUCAUCCAGUCUCAUUGAUUAAGUGCAAUUUCCACACACUUCAGUACAGCUCUGCAGGAUUUAAUGACUGCACCCAGCUGAGCAAUAUUCUCUGGAUUUGAUUCACUAUACAUAUUAAUUUUAGAGCCUGUCUCAAAUAACCUUCAUUGAUUUCUUCAUCAUAUAUACAAGUCUAACCUUGUUUGACUGGUUGCUUGAAAUGCAGUGCCAUUAUUCAGUGGAACAGGAAUUAAGACAGGCUGAUGUGGCUGAACAGAAUUAACGGUUUAAAAAAGUUGUCUGUCUGUGCUGAUGCAUUUGAGAAGAAAAGUGAUGGGGAUUCUGAGCACAGCAAGACCUGCAAGGUGCUUUGUAAAGCAAGUUACUUUCAGGAGAAAAAAAAAAAACAAAAACUGUAUGAAUGGUACAUUAGGCAUGAUCUGAUAAUAACCCCAAAAAUGUCUAAAAUGGAUACAAAUUGCAAAUCCACAGCUGUGACAAUGCAACUAUGGAUUUCUGGCCUCAUAGAUUUAGAGGAGCAAUAAAUGCCAUUGCCAAACUAGUUAAAAGCAACGGCUGAAAGUGUGUAAGUUAGACUAGCUGGAAAGUAAAUGUUUGGAAAAUGCUUUGAGAUUUCAUGUCAUUUCCUUGGGAUAGAACACUCUGAGGCAUCAGUAACUUCAUUUUCCAUUGUGGUGAACUUCAGAGCAAAAGAUUUAAAGACAAUCUCUAUAUGCUUUCUCCCAGAAAACUAUAAGCUUAAUGACUCGUUUUAUUAAAAGCUGAAUUCCAGGAAGUCUAAGUAGUCAUGGUGUGUUUUUUAUUUGUAAUGCUUUCAUCCGUAAGCACUGUUAUUUUUGUCCUUAUCCUGUACCUCUUAGCAAGCUUGCUUUUCUUGUUAUGAG